AUAUAUUCAAAUUCCUCUUUUGCAUUUUACUAGGAAAGUCCUAUGUCAGUUAUCAUACUCCAUUAGAAGAAGGGAGGAAACAUACAUGAUAUUACAGCAGGCAGAAUGAUAGCCUUCCAAAGAUGCCUGCUUCCUUGUCCCCAGAACUUGUGAAUACAUUACCUUACAUGGUAAAAUAAACGUUACAUAUGUGAUCGUAUUAAAGAUCUUGAGGUGAAGAGAUUAUCCUGUGGGUCCAAUGUAAUUACAAGGGUUCUUAUAAGAGGGAGGCAUGAAGGUCAAAAGCAGAAGGAGAUGGGACCACAGAAGCAGAGUUUAGAGUACUGUGGAGGGAUGCUGACAGCUUCUAGAAGCUGGAAGAGACAAAAAUCAGAAUCUCCCCUUGAGCAUCUAGAUAGAACCAGCCCCACUGACACCUUAAUUUUAGUCUCAUAAGACUCAUUUUGGACUUCUGACCUCUGGAAAGUUAAAACAACAAACCUGUGUUAUUUGAGGCCCCUAAAUUUGUGGCAAUUUGUUACAGCAGCAAUGGGAAAAUAAUACAGAUACUGUGCUUAACAUGGGAAACCCAGAUGAGAAUAAACUGUGGACAGCCCUAAGUUUACUGGCCCAGCCUCUGGGCCCUGGUGAUUAUUCCCCUUGCCCAGAAUGUCCUUUCUUUCCAUCCCUAAUUGUGAAAUCUGAACCAUUCUUGGAUGCCGGGCUCUAACAUCAGCUCUUAUCACUGACUCCAAUCUCUCAUCCAGGAGAGUUUGUGCUUUUGUGGUUUCUGACAUCAAUGACCUCCUUCACUUGGUUUCAUAACUGAUGGUGUCUGUUUCCUUAACAGUGCUGGAAGCUUCUGGAGGGCAGCCUGUGUUCGACCACAGGGCACUGUGUAUGUAGCUGGUGUUUGGUACAAGUGUGUUGGGUGGAAGGCUUAUGGAAAUGUGGAACCACAUAGGUAAAUAUAUGGCUACUUCCAACAACCACGUUGAGGCUUUUCACUUCAGAACAAACAUUGGUCAUGCUGCAAGCCCAGUGGAAUAUCUGAUUCUUCCAGGUAUACCUCAAGGAACACCCACAGUGACAUCUCCAAGAUGGACACUAUCCAGCAGAUAAAUGGUCCGUUAACUGUGGAAUGACAGUCCUGGAAUGAGUUUGUGAAGACACGAGUCUCUGAUGCUUCCUUCUAAUAGAGAAAGCUGUCAGAGCUUGGCAGACUCCACCAUUUUUUUUUUCUAGCUGAUCUAAUAGAGCUCAAGCAACACUUUGUGGGGAGCAUUCUCAAGCGUUUCCAUAGCCUUUUCCAUUAUGCCAGUGAGGAAGCCUUUAGUGUAUUUGCUUUGUUUCGUUUUCAUUUGCCUGCCUUUCGGCCUAAUUUACUGAGUAAAUAAAAUAGUUGCUAUAGCCA